UUAAGCGACUAAGCGUACACGGUGGAUGCCCUGGCAGUCAGAGGCGAUGAAGGACGUGCUAAUCUGCGAUAAGCGUCGGUAAGGUGAUAUGAACCGUUAUAACCGGCGAUUUCCGAAUGGGGAAACCCAGUGUGAUUCGUCACACUAUCAUUAACUGAAUCCAUAGGUUAAUGAGGCGAACCGGGGGAACUGAAACAUCUAAGUACCCCGAGGAAAAGAAAUCAACCGAGAUUCCCCCAGUAGCGGCGAGCGAACGGGGAGGAGCCCAGAGCCUGAAUCAGUGUGUGUGUUAGUGGAAGCGUCUGGAAAGGCGCGCGAUACAGGGUGACAGCCCCGUACACAAAAAUGCACAUGCUGUGAGCUCGAUGAGUAGGGCGGGACACGUGGUAUCCUGUCUGAAUAUGGGGGGACCAUCCUCCAAGGCUAAAUACUCCUGACUGACCGAUAGUGAACCAGUACCGUGAGGGAAAGGCGAAAAGAACCCCGGCGAGGGGAGUGAAAAAGAACCUGAAACCGUGUACGUACAAGCAGUGGGAGCACAGAGCAAUCUGUGUGACUGCGUACCUUUUGUAUAAUGGGUCAGCGACUUAUAUUCUGUAGCAAGGUUAACCGAAUAGGGGAGCCGAAGGGAAACCGAGUCUUAACUGGGCGUUAAGUUGCAGGGUAUAGACCCGAAACCCGGUGAUCUAGCCAUGGGCAGGUUGAAGGUUGGGUAACACUAACUGGAGGACCGAACCGACUAAUGUUGAAAAAUUAGCGGAUGACUUGUGGCUGGGGGUGAAAGGCCAAUCAAACCGGGAGAUAGCUGGUUCUCCCCGAAAGCUAUUAGGUAGCGCCUCGUGAAUUCAUCUCCGGGGGUAGAGCACUGUUUCGGCAAGGGGGUCAUCCCGACUUACCAACCCGAUGCAAACUGCGAAUACCGGAGAAUGUUAUCACGGGAGACACACGGCGGGUGCUAACGUCCGUCGUGAAGAGGGAAACAACCCAGACCGCCAGCUAAGGUCCCAAAGUCAUGGUUAAGUGGGAAACGAUGUGGGAAGGCCCAGACAGCCAGGAUGUUGGCUUAGAAGCAGCCAUCAUUUAAAGAAAGCGUAAUAGCUCACUGGUCGAGUCGGCCUGCGCGGAAGAUGUAACGGGGCUAAACCAUGCACCGAAGCUGCGGCAGCGACACUGUGUGUUGUUGGGUAGGGGAGCGUUCUGUAAGCCUGUGAAGGUGUCUGUGAGGAUGCUGGAGGUAUCAGAAGUGCGAAUGCUGACAUAAGUAACGAUAAAGCGGGUGAAAAGCCCGCUCGCCGGAAGACCAAGGGUUCCUGUCCAACGUUAAUCGGGGCAGGGUGAGUCGACCCCUAAGGCGAGGCCGAAAGGCGUAGUCGAUGGGAAACAGGUUAAUAUUCCUGUACUUGGUGUUACUGCGAAGGGGGACGGAGAAGGCUAUGUUGGCCGGGCGACGGUUGUCCCGGUUUAAGCGUGUAGGCUGGUUUUCCAGGCAAAUCCGGAAAAUCAAGGCUGAGGCGUGAUGACGAGGCACUACGGUGCUGAAGCAACAAAUGCCCUGCUUCCAGGAAAAGCCUCUAAGCAUCAGGUAACAUCAAAUCGUACCCCAAACCGACACAGGUGGUCAGGUAGAGAAUACCAAGGCGCUUGAGAGAACUCGGGUGAAGGAACUAGGCAAAAUGGUGCCGUAACUUCGGGAGAAGGCACGCUGAUAUGUAGGUGAAGUCCCUCGCGGAUGGAGCUGAAAUCAGUCGAAGAUACCAGCUGGCUGCAACUGUUUAUUAAAAACACAGCACUGUGCAAACACGAAAGUGGACGUAUACGGUGUGACGCCUGCCCGGUGCCGGAAGGUUAAUUGAUGGGGUCAGCGCAAGCGAAGCUCUUGAUCGAAGCCCCGGUAAACGGCGGCCGUAACUAUAACGGUCCUAAGGUAGCGAAAUUCCUUGUCGGGUAAGUUCCGACCUGCACGAAUGGCGUAAUGAUGGCCAGGCUGUCUCCACCCGAGACUCAGUGAAAUUGAACUCGCUGUGAAGAUGCAGUGUACCCGCGGCAAGACGGAAAGACCCCGUGAACCUUUACUAUAGCUUGACACUGAACAUUGAGCCUUGAUGUGUAGGAUAGGUGGGAGGCUUUGAAGUGUGGACGCCAGUCUGCAUGGAGCCGACCUUGAAAUACCACCCUUUAAUGUUUGAUGUUCUAACGUGGACCCGUGAUCCGGGUUGCGGACAGUGUCUGGUGGGUAGUUUGACUGGGGCGGUCUCCUCCUAAAGAGUAACGGAGGAGCACGAAGGUUGGCUAAUCCUGGUCGGACAUCAGGAGGUUAGUGCAAUGGCAUAAGCCAGCUUGACUGCGAGCGUGACGGCGCGAGCAGGUGCGAAAGCAGGUCAUAGUGAUCCGGUGGUUCUGAAUGGAAGGGCCAUCGCUCAACGGAUAAAAGGUACUCCGGGGAUAACAGGCUGAUACCGCCCAAGAGUUCAUAUCGACGGCGGUGUUUGGCACCUCGAUGUCGGCUCAUCACAUCCUGGGGCUGAAGUAGGUCCCAAGGGUAUGGCUGUUCGCCAUUUAAAGUGGUACGCGAGCUGGGUUUAGAACGUCGUGAGACAGUUCGGUCCCUAUCUGCCGUGGGCGCUGGAGAACUGAGGGGGGCUGCUCCUAGUACGAGAGGACCGGAGUGGACGCAUCACUGGUGUUCGGGUUGUCAUGCCAAUGGCACUGCCCGGUAGCUAAAUGCGGAAGAGAUAAGUGCUGAAAGCAUCUAAGCACGAAACUUGCCCCGAGAUGAGUUCUCCCUGACCCUUUAAGGGUCCUGAAGGAACGUUGAAGACGACGACGUUGAUAGGCCGGGUGUGUAAGCGCAGCGAUGCGUUGAGCUAACCGGUACUAAUGAACCGUGAGGCUUAACCUU
rnacentral:rRNA from 1 species